rnacentral:rRNA from 1 species
GAACAUGCUACGCCGCGUGGAGGACGAAGGCCUUCGGGUUGUAAACUCCUGUCAUGAGGGAGGAACCGCAGACGGUUAAUACCCGUUCUGUUUGACAGUACCUCAUGAGGAAGUCACGGCUAGCUCUGUGCCAGCAGCCGCGGUAAUACAGAGGUGGCAAGUGUUGUUCGGAUUUACUGGGCGUACAGGGUCCGCAGGCGGUUCUGUGUGUCAGAUGUGAAAAUCCACGGCUCAACCGUGGAACUGCAUUUGACACUACAGAACUAGAGUACAGCAGGGGACAGGGGAAUUCAUGGUGUAGCGGUGAAAUGCGUAGAUCUCAUGAAGAACACCGGUGGCGAAAGCGCCUCUCUGGACUGAUACUGACGCUCAUGGACGAAAGCCGGGGGGAGCGAAAAGGAUUAGAUACCCUUGUAGUCCCGGCCAUAAUCGGUGUGCACUUGAUCUGGGAGGAUUACCCCCUUCCGUGUCGGAGCUUACGCGUUAAGUGCACCGCCUGGGAAGUACGGCCGCAAGGUUAAAACUCAAAGGAAUUGACGGGGGCACGCACAAGCGGUGGAGCAUGUGGCUUAAUUCGAUGCAACGCGAAGAACCUUACCAGGGCUUGACAUGAUACUGCAUACGACCCGAAAGGGACGUAGCCUUCGAGGGUGUAUCACAGGUGCUGCAUGGCUGUCGUCAGCUCGUGCCGUGAGGUGUUGGGUUAAGUCCCGCUACGAGCGCAACCCCUGUGUUUAGUUGCCAGCACGUAAUGGUGGGAACUCUAAACAGACUGCCUGUGAAAGCAGGAGGAAGGUGGGGAUGACGUCAAGUCAGCAUGGUCCUUAUGUCCUGGCCUGCACACGUGCUACAAUGGGUGGUACAGAUGGAAGCAAUAUCGCGAGAUGGAGCAAACCCUCGAAUCCAUCCUCAGUUCGGAUUGGAGUCUGAAAUUCGACUCCAUGAAGUUGGAAUCGCU